GUGCUCGAUUCAGCAGCACGUAUGCUAAAAUUGGAGUGAUACAGAGAAGAUUAUCAUGGCCCUGUGCAAGGAUGACAGGCAAAUUCAUGAAGUAUUUCAUAAUCUC